rnacentral:lncRNA from 1 species
UUUUUUUUUUUUUUUUUUUUUUUUGCCUUUGUCUAAGUUUUGGUGAAGACUUUGAAGGUAACCGAGAAAUAUAAUACAUUGGCAAUGUUUUCUUUACUCGCUAUUUUAAUGUAAAUUCAUUGUGUUUUUCAAAUACAAACUCAUUUUUGCCGUGAUUGCUAUAAUGCAAAAUCUUAUUAGACUAUGUUUCUUGACAUAAAUUUAAUUACUUUCCAUUUCAAACAUAUUAAAGAAAAAGAUGUUUACAUAAAUCUAUUCAAAACAUAGUGGUUCUUUUUGCCUUUAUGCCUCAUACUGUCCUUAGGCUGAGAAAACAAAAAGAAAUUUAGCAGACACAAGCAUAUUUCCCUUUGGAUGUAAGGAAGCAGGUAGUGGACAUAGUACAGAAACAAUACUUGCUUAUUAGGAUAAUGGCACUCUGACGUCUAGGGGAGAACUGACUGCUAUUGUUUUGCUAAAUGAUCCCAUCAACCAUCUAAAUACUUAUCCUUACAUCCAUAGGUUACAGCCCCAAGCUCUCAUCAGAGAAACUUCCUAUUUUAUUUGUUUGUUUCAUGACAAGGUUUCUCUGUGUAGGUCUGGCUGUCACCAAACUCUCACUCUGUAGACCAGGCUGGCCUCGAACUCACAGAGAUCCACCAGUCUCUGUACCCUGGGUGCUGGGAUUAAAGGCAUGCAUCACCACAGCUCCUUGAGAAACUUCUUAUUUCAAUACAUAGUGUUUACCAUAGAGCCUCACUACUAGUUAAACUGCAGAGAGCACACUAGCAAGAUUUUAUCGAAAGGACCCAGAUAUAGUUGUCUCUUGUGAGACUAUGCCGGGGCCUAGCAAACACAGAAGUGGAUGCUCACAGUCAGCUAUUGGAUGGAUCACAGGGCUCCCAAUGGAGGAGCUAGAGAAAGUAACCAAGGAGCUAAAGGGAUCUGCACCCUAUAGGUGGAACAACAUUAUGAACUAACCAGUACCCCCCGGAGCUCUUGAUUCUAGCUGCAUAUGUAUCAGAAGAUGGCCUAGUCGGCCAUCACUGAAAAGAGAGGCCCAUUGGACACGCAAACUGUAUAUGCCCCAGUACAGGGGAACGCCAGGGCCAAAAAAAUGGGAAUGGGUGGGUAGGGAAGUGUUGGGGAGGGUAUGGAGGACUUUUGGGAUAGCAUUGGAAAUGUAAUUGAGGAAAAUAUGUAAUAAAAAAUAUUAAGAAAAAAAAGAGAAAAAAAGUAGAACACAUAUCACACAGAAUAUGCUCCUUUAUAUCCCUAUGAUUUUACCUAGCAUAAUGAACACUAGUUUAC